rnacentral:rRNA from 1 species
AACGAACGCUGGCGGCAUGCCUAACACAUGCAAGUCGAACGAGACCUUCGGGUCUAGUGGCGCACGGGUGCGUAACGCGUGGGAACCUGCCCUUAGGUUCGGAAUAACCCCCCGAAAGGGGUGCUAAUACCGGAUAAUGUCUUCGGACCAAAGAUUUAUCGCCUUUGGAUGGGCCCGCGUUGGAUUAGCUAGUUGGUAGGGUAAAAGCCUACCAAGGCGACGAUCCAUAGCUGGUCUGAGAGGAUGAUCAGCCACACUGGGACUGAGACACGGCCCAGACUCCUACGGGAGGCAGCAGUGGGGAAUAUUGGACAAUGGGCGAAAGCCUGAUCCAGCAAUGCCGCGUGAGUGAUGAAGGUCUUAGGGUUGUAAAGCUCUUUUACCCGGGAUGAUAAUGACAGUACCGGGAGAAUAAGCUCCGGCUAACUCCGUG